GGACUACAAGGGUUUCUAAUCCUGUUUGCUACCCACGCUUUCGCGCCUCAGCGUCAGAUGAUGACCAGUAUGCUGCCUUCGCCAUGGGUGUUCCUCCUGAUAUCAACGCAUUUCACCGCUACACCAGGAAUUCCACAUACCUCUCCAUCCCUCAAGUCUGCCAGUAUGAAAAGCAAUUUUCGGGUUGAGCCCUGAAGAUUUCACUUCUCACUUAACAGACCGCCUACGCGCUCUUUACGCCCAGUAAAUCCGGAUAACGCUUGGACCCUACGUCUUACCGCGGCUGCUGGCAC
rnacentral:rRNA from 1 species